rnacentral:misc_RNA from 1 species
GAUAAAGAACGCAGCGAAAUGCGAUAAGUAAUGUGAAUUGCAGAAUUCAGUGAAUCAUCGAGUCUUUGAACGCACAUUGCGCCCCCUGGUAUUCCGGGGGGCAUGCCUGUCCGAGCGUCAUUGCCGCCCUCAAGCACGGCUUGUGUGUUGGGCCCCCGCCCCCCGGCUUCGGGGGGCGGGCCCGAAAGGCAGCGGCGGCACCGCGUCCGGUCCUCGAGCGUAUGGGGCUUCGUCACCCGCUCUGUAGGCCCGGCCGGCGCCCGCCGGCGACCCCAAUCAAUCUUUCCAGGUUGACCUCGGAUCAGGUAGGGAUACCCGCUGAACUUAAGCAUAUCAAUAAGCGGAGGA